rnacentral:lncRNA from 15 species
CAGUCACUGACAUGGCUGUACAGGGUUCAGAAGUGUUUUGGCUAUCGCUGCCAAACACAGACAAAAACAGUGUUCACCCAGUUGGCAGACUCCUCAAAAGGUUACAGAUAUCACCGCCGCACUUUUAUCACCUUGUCUUUUUUUCUCCCUUUCUUUUCUCUCCUGGAGGUUUAGGGAUCAUGUAUGCAGCUGUCCGUGUCAUUCACGGUAUAAAGGCAGAAAAGGACUGGGCUUUAUCUUUGAAAUACCACCUUAUCAAGUCUCUUGAAGAGUGGGUGGAUGACUCACAGCGUGCCUUUCCUAAAGUGAUCCUCUACUCAGUCCGA